rnacentral:rRNA from 1 species
UACGAGGGGGGCGAGCGUUACUCGGAAUUACUGGGCGUAAAGGGUGCGUAGGUGGUUUGUUAAGUCUGCUGUGAAAUCCCCGGGCUCAACCUGGGAAUGGCAGUGGAUACUGGCAAGCUAGAGUGCGGUAGAGGGUAGUGGAAUUCCCGGUGUAGCAGUGAAAUGCGUAGAGAUCGGGAGGAACACCAGUGGCGAAAGCGGCUACCUGGACCAGCACUGACACUGAAGCACGAAAGCGUGGGGAGCAAACAGG